GCUGCUUAUUAACUGCGUUUGCUUCAGUGACAGUUAAGCACGAUGAUUAUUGCUGUGGGAUGUUGUGUGGUCUUCAUGCUUAUUACUAGCUGUUCACCUCGAAACGUUCAUCUGAUGGUGUUAGAAAGAUUGUGAAUUUUUUGACAUUUUCAUUAAGGAGUGAAUAACUUGCAAUAGCUAUUAUUACGCGGUGAAGGGAUUUGCGUGUGUGUGUGUGUGCGUGUGAGCGCGCGCGUGCAUGCGUGUGUGUGCAUGUAUAUGCAUAUUGUGUAAUUGCAUCGCGUAAAUAAUUCUUUAUCAUUAACUCUGCUUUACGAUCGAGAGUGCUCGCCUGCUGGUUGCAUUCGUCCGGAGUACCCCAGUGACAUUUUUUUUAUAUUUACAUUAUUCCACAUCGUUCAACUUUGUCCCCAGCCCCACCCCAUUUAUUUUUUAAAGAUCAGGGUGUGUUGCAACAUUUUCUGCCCAAGAAACAGCCACAUAGGGCUUGUACACACCGAAUGAUAAUGCAAACUUGAUAUCGAUUUAAAAUUUUAGCAUCAGCAGCAGUGUCAACGCUGACUAAUGUGCUGUUGCAUACAGCCUACUUCAUUUCUUUAACUGGUAAUUCCACAGACAUACUUACAUUAUGUGUAUAUGAAUGUUCAGUGACAAACCUGACUGAACUCCAUUCUUACACCUGCGGCCUGGUAAGGUUAGGAACCAAUGGGCUAAGCAAUAUACUUAUCCAAUAAUUGCAAGUUUAAGCAAUAAAUGGUCAAGCAUUGGAAGAAUUUAAAACAAGCUAAUUUAUAGCACUACAGACAUGCAAGAUUAAAAUGCGCUCAAUUCAAAAAGUGAAGAUGGCAUGCUCCCAGCCAUCAACCAGUGUAGCAGGUGAAAUUUCAAUUGUUUUUUGACAAGCACUACCUUUUAAGCUGGCGUAUUUGCAUGACUGUGUUCCAACUUUCAGUAGAUGACCACUGGAGGCCUUCCAAGUUUGCAGUUGUUGCAGAGAGCCAAGCAAUAUUGGUACCGCGCAGGUAUCCAUAGGUAUCCGCAGGCACUGGGAAGUACCGCGCAGUAACCGGUGCCUCAUUCGAGAAGGACAUACCAAAAUUGGUGCAUCGUUCGGGCACACAAGGAAGUGGCACUGGUGUCAAGCUGAACACCUAUGCUUACAGGGAGAACGCCAAGGAGCGCGGUGAUUUCUACAACUUCUCACCUCACAAGAGCAACAGCCCGUACACAGCCACCAGCCAGUCACGCAAGAGGGGAAAUUUCAAGUGUCGCUACUGCGGUAGAUUCUUCGUCUACCUGACACCUUUCAUCGCCCAUGAAGAGGCACACACCAAUGAGAAGCGCUUCCGCUGCUACUUUUGCCCCGAGGCCUUUGUCACCCGCCAGCUGUUGACCAUCCACCUGCGUAUCCACAAGGACGAGAUACUUGGCGACAACGACGUGCCAUAAGAGUGAAUGUAGGCAUGGUGGUGUUCCGGCUUCACAUCUCUGAAUUCAUGGUGGCAACCACAGUGGGCAAUGAAGUUGCAGCCAUUGGCCCACAUAAGCAAGCCCUUCAUCAUGCUGCAUUUUCCAGUGAUUCAAGACUGUCCAGAGUGCAUUGUGCAAUGUUGUGUAUGGAUGGCGACCUGCUGCUUUGGCAUAAGUGGAUGCAUGCUCUGUUCAACUAGGUUAAACUGCAUGGUUCUGCUGCUUAAUCUUAACUGCAUCUGUCACUUCAUGGAUGGGUACAGAAGAUCUUUUGGAGUGCACAAACACUUGUCGACACAUACCAGUUUGCAUCUGUGCGCAGUGCCCUCUAUCACCUGAGCAGCAAAAAGUGCAUUGUGCACCUUGGCAGUGGUUUGGAUGCCAGCUUUUUCCACAGAAACUCCUUAGCUUUGCACCUUUCCUAAAGCAUCAAGAAGAGCAUACGAGUGAGCUGUGCUUUCCCCGGUGCUACUAUCCCAGUGCUUUUUGAAGCUGUUGCUCAGUGGGCACAUGUACAACCACCAUGGGUAACGUCUGUUGUUCAACAGCACUACUUAUGUGGCAGCCUGUCUUAUCUUGGGGAAAGCUUAAUGGAAAUUAUUUAUAGUGCAAUCCACUUAUACCCUCAAGUGUGCCCUUAGGUGCUAGGCUUUCUGCAGACUGUGUAGAUUCAUUGAUGUGUUUAGCGUCCUAUUUCGCUUAUCAGUGUGCUUAUCAGUUUCGCUUGCCAGGCGUUCAAUAUAGGCCUUGGAACUUCCUCUGUUAGCACUGUGCCAGUGAUAACUUUGCAAUGAUUAGGCGUGCGCUCUGCAAAGUGCUUGCCCGGCUGCUGCACUGUAUCUGCACCACCAAACAGAAUCUGGCCUAAGUUUGGAUCCAGAUGUGUCUUUCAGUACCGUGCAGUGACUGCCUGUCUAAUUGUUUGCUGACUAGAUGGGACCUAAUAGUCCUUUCUAAACUGAUGACUAUGGCAUAGCUGGUGGUUUGAUGUUUUGUACUAAUAGGGUAAUGUUUAUUAGUGUGACUAGUAAGCUGUUGGGCUAGUUUGUGUGAUUAAUGAAUGAAUGAAGUAAUGUGAUGCUUUAGCACUAGUAAUGUUAUCACAUGGUCUCAGAAACAUUGUUGCCACUAGGUGUAGAUGAGCAGCCAUACGAUUGGGGCUCUCUGGCAACCACGUGAUACUGGUCUGUGGAGCGUGUCAUCAUGCCUUGUUACCUUGUUCACCGUACCGAGUUUUAUAUGUGCAAUCUGUGAGCUAAGUGCCUUUUCAGAAAUUAUGCUACUUACUUUUUUUUUAGAAGGAAGGGGGUUAACCGAGGGGCCCGAUUUUUAUCAAUCAUAUCAUGAGAAGCCAACAAACAAAGACUCCAAAGAAAACAUCAGGGAAAUUACUUGUACUUGCUAACUAGAUUAAAGGAAUGAUAAAUUAAUGGCAAUGAAAGAAUGAAAAAACAACUUGCCGCAGCUGGGGAAUGAUCCCACGUCUUCGCAUUAUGUGUAAUGAUAAAUUAAUGGCAAUGAAAGUGGAUGGAAAAACAGGUUGCCGCAAGUAAAAAACGAUCCCAUGUCUUCGCAUUACGCUUGCGAUGCUUGCACGCAUUAUGCGACGUCGUGGGAUCGUUCCCCACCUGCAACAAGUUGUUCGUUCAUCCACUUUAAUUGCCAUUAAUUUAUCAUUUCUUUAAUUCAGUUAGCAAGUACAAGUAAUUUCCCCUAUGGUUUUUUGUUGGCUUCUCAUGAUAUUACUUUCUUUGGCUCUACUUAAAAAGCUGUCUUCCAUGGAACUUUAAGACAGCACUUGCUUUGAAAUGUGUUAUGUGGCAUUGCAUAGGCUAUGUUUUGCUUGCAGCAGCAAUAUAAAUCAAAACUUGGUGCCAGCGUAUUCAGUUAUCUACGGAUUAAAUCUUUGUGUGCCCUAGUUUGCCGAAGUUACAUACGUGCAACUUGGGAGUUGUCUGUGAGCAAUAGGGCACCAGCACAGUUGUGUUGCCUGCGAGAUGCCUGGCUUGGAGUGAAGCAAAAACAAAGUGACAAUUUAAAUGCAUGGAGCCCAGCAGAUGAAGAGGUGACAGCUCCUUUCCACCCUUAUUUGAGCUGCAAAGAGUUGUGUGCACCUACACAUGAGCUUGGCAGGGCAUGAAGUCAGUCUUAAUGAUCCUGCAGUGUUGCCAAAGACCAGAUUGCUCUUUCACUCUGUUUACCAAAAUUUCAUGGAUAGGUGGCAAUCUUUAGUAGCAUUGAAGUCAGUCUACAGCUCAAGCUAGCUUGCAGCACCAUGGGCAUGAUUGACCGCUAAUGUCUCACUGAUCACACGCAUUUGUUACAAGUCUAAUUCAGGCUGCUGGUAUUCUGAUCGUGGCAUAAAUGCCAGACUUGGCUCGGCCUAGAAGGAUAAGGGCCUUAGAUUUCUCGAGCGAAGUUUUCUUUUUUUUUUUUGCAAGUGCGUCUAACAGAAGCACGAAGGGGCAUAGUAUAAAGAACAGCCUCCUGACUUACUCUAGGCCUAUAAUUCAAGCUAAGUAUUAGUGAAAUGUGAAACCUGAAGUUGGUAACCUGUUAAAUUUGGAGUUAAUUGGCAUUCGGAGACCUGAAGCUGUGCACUGGCCGUGAUGAAAUUAGUCUCAUGCCAAGCACUACAGACAGCUUAGCUGCAUCAUACUGAUUAUGGAAAAACCCCGUUAGGUAAGCACAUUUCUAUUAAUUCCGCUUACCAGGUUUAUUGCUUCAUAUUUCAGUGACAGUUUUUGGUGGAGCAUCGUCAUGUACAUUUGUAAAGUGAUGAUUUCACAAGGAAUGAGUUGUGGAUUUGUCACAGCUACAAAUUUUGCUAACCAUGCUAUUUGCUUUAGAACUUGAGCACUAUUUGCAGUGGAAAAUCAUCCGUCAGGCAGGUUGAGAAUGAACAAAUUGAAUUUAUCAUACUGGUAUGUGCUAAAAUAGACCAAACAUUGCCACAGUGAAUUUGCUUUGAAUUAUUGCUUGCUCAGCUUUCUGUUCUUAUGUGGUGUAUUGCCUCACGCAACGAAGUCAUUUUGCAAGCAAACGUGCACGCAUAUAUUUCGUCUAGUCGUCUUGGUCACAAUGAGUGCUUGGCUACAAAAUAUGAUUGAGUGAUUGUGGAUGUUGUACAUUGUGGCUUCUCUACUACUGUUUUCAGCUGCUCUUGUGUACCAUUUAUUUGCUUUCUCAAGCGAAGUGCUUGCCUAAACUUUGCCUGUAACCCACAGUGCAGAAUGCAGCUUGUGGCAUUUAUGAAAGACUAGGUGUAGUGGUCAGGUGCUAAGCCUAGCAUGCUAGGCCUAGUGCAUGAGCUGCGAUAUACGAGGCUAAUUUCCUUAUGCAAGUCAUUGAUGUUUCUGUUUGUGUGGAUGGUUCAAUGGCUGAACAGUAGCAGAGAGCAGUUUGUGCAGUUAAUUGAGGGGACAGUACUUAGUUUUACAUUAUAGCUUGUAUCUCGUUUGGCACUUUGCUUUUGCAUCAAAUGCCCAGUCUUACUUUCUGUACGAAGUUAUUGCUCUCCAUAACGACUGAUCAAACCAUCCAGUGACACAGAGUUUGUUUCUUUCGUGAUUGCCUCACAAAAUUACUGAAGAAGGUUUGACAUGUUUGAUGUUGUGUAUUGGGAUGUUUUGUGUGCAAUGGUAUCUGCCAGUGCAUAUUUGCACUGUCUCAAGUGGAAGACAUUAGUUGCAGUUCCUUUCUUUUUUUAGAUUCUUACACUCAAAUACUGUGGUAGUGUUCAGUUUUGUUUUUCUGUAUAUGUGUUAACUUCUAUAACCGUAAUGUGUAUGUGUGCUUGCAUGGGUAUUUCAUAAAAUUUGCAUUGUCAAGCUUUAUGUUGCUUACGAAAACAAAAUAUGUAGACAAUGGUCAACACAGAGGCAACAUACUGUGCCCCAGAUUUAAUAAAAUGCUUGAAUAGUC